rnacentral:rRNA from 1 species
GACGAACGCUGGCGGCGUGCUUAACACAUGCAAGUCGAACGGAAAGGCCCUGCUUUUGUGGGGUGCUCGAGUGGCGAACGGGUGAGUAACACGUGAGUAACCUGCCCUUGACUUUGGGAUAACUUCAGGAAACUGGGGCUAAUACCGGAUAGGAGCUCCUGCUGCAUGGUGGGGGUUGGAAAGUUUCGGCGGUUGGGGAUGGACUCGCGGCUUAUCAGCUUGUUUGUGGGGUAGUGGCUUACCAAGGCUUUGACGGGUAGCCGGCCUGAGAGGGUGACCGGCCACAUUGGGACUGAGAUACGGCCCAGACUCCUACGGGCGGCAGCAGUGGGGAAUAUUGCACAAUGGGCGGAAGCCUGAUGCAGCAACGUCGCGUGCGGGAUGACGGCCUUCGGGUUGUAAACCGCUUUCGCCUGUGACGAAGCGUGAGUGACGGUAAUGGGUAAAGAAGCACCGGCUAACUACGUG